GACGAACGCUGGCGGCGUGCUUAACACAUGCAAGUCGAACGGAAAGGCCCUGCUUGCAGGGUACUCGAGUGGCGAACGGGUGAGUAACACGUGGGUGAUCUGCCCUGCACUUCGGGAUAAGCCUGGGAAACUGGGUCUAAUACCGGAUAGGAGCCAUUUUUAGUGUGAUGGUUGGAAAGUUUUUUCGGUGUAGGAUGAGCUCGCGGCCUAUCAGCUUGUUGGUGGGGUAAUGGCCUACCAAGGCGGCGACGGGUAGCCGGCCUGAGAGGGUGGACGGCCACAUUGAGACUGAGGGACGGCAGAGACUCCGACGGGAGGCAGCAGUGGGGAAGAUUGCACAAGGGGCGCAAGCCUGAUGCAGCGACGCCGCGUGGGGGAUGACGGCCUUCGGGUUGUAGACACCUUUCGCUAGGGACGAAGCUUUUUGUGACGGUACCUAGAGAAGAAGCACCGGCUAACUACGUG
rnacentral:rRNA from 1 species